rnacentral:tRNA from 1 species
ACCUGGGUGGCUUAGCAGGUUAAGCAUCUGACUUCGGCUCAGGUCAUGAUCUCGUGGUUUUUGAGUUCAAGCCCCACCUCGGGCU